UUGCUACUCCCUCCUUUCGAAAAUACUUAUCAUCAAAAUAAAUAAAAGAGGAUGUAUUUAGACAUAUUUUAGUUUUUAUAUAUCCUUUUUUAUCUAUUUUGAUGACUAAGUAUUUUUGAACGGAGGGAGUACCAC
rfam:Triticum aestivum genome assembly, contig: Triticum_aestivum_CS42_TGACv1_scaffold_112954_2AS